rnacentral:rRNA from 1 species
AGAGUUUGAUCAUGGCUCAGGAUGAACGCUAGCGGCAGGCUUAACACAUGCAAGUCGAGGGGCAGCACGGGUAGCAAUAUCUGGUGGCGACCGGCGCAAGGGUGCGUAACGCGUGAGCAACAUGCCCGUAUCAGGGGAAUAAUCCAGGGAAACUUGGUCUAAUACCCCAUAGUAAAUAUUAAAGGCAUCUUUAAUAUUUUAAAGCUUUGGUGGAUACGGAUUGGCUCGCGUGACAUUAGCUGGAUGGUAAGGUAACGGCUUACCAUGGCUACGAUGUCUAGGGGUUCUGAGAGGAAGAUCCCCCACACUGGAACUGAGACACGGUCCAGACUCCUACGGGAGGCAGCAGUGAGGAAUAUUGGACAAUGGAUGGAAAUCUGAUCCAGCCAUGCCGCGUGCAGGAAGACGGCCCUAUGGGUUGUAAACUGCUUUUAUAUGGGAGCAAUAAGGCCUACGUGUAGGUUGAUGAGAGUACCAUAUGAAUAAGCACCGGCUAACUCCGUGCCAGCAGCCGCGGUAAUACGGAGGGUGYAAGCGUUAUCCGGAUUUAUUGGGUUUAAAGGGUGCGUAGGCGGUUUGAUAAGUCAGCGGUGAAAUAUUUCAGCUUAACUGGAAGGGUGCCGUUGAUACUGUCAGGCUUGAAUUUAGUUGCUGUGGGUGGAAUGUGUGGUGUAGCGGUGAAAUGCAUAGAUAUCACACAGAAUAUCGAUUGCGAAGGCAGCUCACAAAGCUARCAUUGACGCUGAUGCACGAAAGUGUGGGGAUCAAACAGGAUUAGAUACCCUGGUAGUCC